rnacentral:rRNA from 1 species
UUUUUGGUCAAGCUACAAAGAGCACAUGGCGGAUGCCUUGGCAGAUGAAGGCGAUGAAGGGCGCGGUAAGCUGCGAUAAGCUUCGGGGAGGUGCAAACUACCUUAGAACCGGAGAUGCCCGAAUGGGGAAACCCUUCCGAGUAAUGUCGGAAUACCAUGGGAAGAAAACCUAACGGGAAGUAAUCCUGUGGAGCUAACCUGGCGAACUGAAACAUCUAAGUACCCAGUGGAAGAGAAAUCAACUGAGAUUCCCCUAGUAGCGGCGAGCGAACGGGGAACAGCCCAAACUCGGUCCUGCGUAAUAGCUGGUGCGCGUUGCAGGGCGGGGGUAUCAGGGUCGUUAAUGAUCCCGUGUACCAACCGGGGUUGGAGAGUCAAAAAGUCGUUCCUUAGCCGAAAGGUCUGGGAAGUCCUACCAUAGACGGUGAUAGUCCGGUAGGCGAAAAGGAAGCGAUCUCUCCCUUGACGAUACCUAAGUACCACGGAGCACGAGAAACUCUGUGGGAAUAUGGGGGGACCACCCUCUAAGGCUAAAUACUCUCAUCUGACCGAUAGCGAACUAGUACCGUGAGGGAAAGGUGAAAAGUACCCCUGGCGGGGAGUGAAAUAGUACCUGAAACCAUGUGCUUACGAUCAGUCGGAGCUCCGUAUUUAUACGGGGUGACGGCGUGCCUUUUGCAUAAUGAUCCGGCGAGUUGCUUGUAUGCAGCAAGGUUAAGCCCUUCUGGGGCGUAGCCGCAGCGAAAGCGAGUCUGAAUAGGGCGUUUUAGUUGCAUGCAGCAGACCCGAAACUGGGUGAGCUACCCAUGGCCAGGAUGAAGUGACGGUAACACGUCAUGGAGGUCCGAACUGGUGAACGUUGAAAAGUUCUCGGAUGAGCUGUGGGUAGGAGUGAAAGGCCUAUCAAACCCAGGGAUAGCUGGUUCUCCUCGAAAUAUAUUUAGGUAUAGCCUCGGAAAGUUUGUGGCGGAGGUAGAGCACUGGAUGGGGAAGGGAUCUUACCAGAUUACCGACCCCACUCAAACUCCGAAUGCCGUGCACAUCAAUUCCGGGAGUCAGGCAGUGGGGGAUAAGCUUCAUUGCCGAGAGGGAAAAAACCCAGAUCGUCAGCUAAGGCCCCAAAGUGCCAGCUAAGUGAUAAAGGAUGUGGAAUUUCAUAGACAACCAGGAUGUUGGCUUAGAAGCAGCCAUCAUUUAAAGAGUGCGUAAUAGCUCACUGGUCAAGUGGUUCCGCGCCGACAAUUUACGGGACUAUUAAGCUGGCCGCCGAAGCUGCGGACUUGCCCCGAUUCAUCGGGGCAUUUGGUAGAGGAGCGUUGCAUUGUAGAGUGAAGCGGCGCCGUAAGGCGCCGUCGACGAAAUGCAAGUGAGAAUGCCGGAAUAAGUAGCGAAAAACCAGGCGAGAAACCUGGUCACCGAAAACUCAAGGGUUCCUGGGGAAGGCUAAUCCGCCCAGGGUAAGUCGGGCCCUAAGCCGAGGCCGAAAGGCGUAGGCGAUGGAAAUCCGGUUAAUAUUCCGGAACCGCCGAUCACGCGUCAUCACCUAAGGGGGGACGCAGGAGUGAGAUCCCAUCCGCGACUGGUAGUGCGGGUCUAAGCUGGUAGGGGGAUCCGGUUGGCAAAUCCGCCGGGUCGUCAACCCCGAGAAGCGAUGGGGAGUCCGUAAGGACGCAAAAGGGAUCGAAUCACGCUGCCGAGAAAAUCCUCGUAGGGAGUUUGAUUGGCGUCCGUACCGUAAACCGACUCAGGUGAGUGAGAAGAAUAUUCUAAGGUGCUCGAGAUAACCUCCUUUAAGGAACUAGGCAAAUUAGCCCCGUAACUUCGGGAGAAGGGGCCCCCGCUUCCGUCAGGUAUAUUCAUGCUAAAGCGGAUUUGGGGCGCAGUGAAAGGGCUCAAGUGACUGUUUAUCACAAACACAUGACUCUGCUAAGCCGAUGAGGCGAUGUAUAGGGUCUGACACCUGCCCGGUGCUGGAAGGUUAAGAGGAGAUGGCGCAGUGAAAGGGCUCAAGUGACUGUUUAUCACAAACACAUGACUCUGCUAAGCCGAUGAGGCGAUGUAUAGGGUCUGACACCUGCCCGGUGCUGGAAGGUUAAGAGGAGAUGUUAGUCGCAAGGCGAAGCAUUGAAUCGAAGCCCCAGUAAACGGCGGCCGUAACUAUAACGGUCCUAAGGUAGCGAAAUUCCUUGUCGGGUAAGUUCCGACCUGCACGAAUGGUGUAACAAAUUGAGCGCGGUCUCAAAGGAGGGCUCGUCGAAAUUGUAGUGGCGGUGAAGAUGCCGCCUACCCGCAGAUGGACUAAAAGACCCCGUGAACCUUAACUGUAGCUUGGCAUUGGCUUUUGAUAAUGCUUGUGUAGGAUAGGUGGGAGACUUUGAAGCUGGGGCGCUAGCCUCGGUGGAGUCGACGUUGAAAUACCACCCUGGUGUUAUUGGGAGUCUAACCUACGUCAGUGAAUCCUGGCGGGGGACACUGUCAGGUGGGCAGUUUGACUGGGGCGGUCGCCUCCUAAAGUGUAACGGAGGCGCGCAAAGGUUACCUCAGCGCGGUCGGUAAUCGCGCUUUUCAGAGUGCAAAGGCAUAAGGUAGCCUGACUGUGAGGAAGACAUUCCGAACAGACACGAAAGUGGGCCUUAGUGAUCCGGUGGCUACAAGUGGAAGCACCAUCGCUCAACGGACAAAAGGUACUCCGGGGAUAACAGGCUGAUCUUGCCCGAGAGUUCAUAUCGACGGCAAGGUUUGGCACCUCGAUGUCGGCUCAUCGCAUCCUGGGGCUGGAGAAGGUCCCAAGGGUUGGACUGUUCGUCCAUUAAAGCGGUACGUGAGCUGGGUUCAGAACGUCGUGAGACAGUUCGGUCUCUAUCCUCUGUGGGCGCAGGAGAUUUGAGAGGUCUUGUCCUUAGUACGAGAGGACCGGGAUGAACGAACCUCUAGUGUACCAGCUGUCCUGCCAAGGGCAAAGGUUGGGUAGCUAUGUUCGGAUGGGAUAACCGCUGAAUGCAUCUAAGUGGGAAACCUACCUCAAGAUUAGAUCUCCCUCCCGAUUUAUCGGGACUGAAGGCUCCCGGAAGACUACCGGGUUGAUAGGCUACAGGUGUAAGUCCAGCGAUGGAUUAAGCCGAGUAGUACUAACUUAGCCGUGAGGCUUGACCAU